GAUGACGGAGCUACCGAUCGCCACCACCAUCUCCACCUCGUUCCCCAUCGUCUUCUUCGACGAAGAGCCGGAGGUCAAGAUUGACACCGUCGUCGUUCAUCCUAUUUUUGACUUUAAGAUGGAAUAUCCCAAUCCCAUUUAAACCUCCACCCACACGACUCUUGGAGCAUCCAAAAAAAAAGAAAGGAAAGAUAAAGACUCUUGCUGGGAGUCUUCUUCCACGUGAGUCCAUCGAAAAGAGAGUCAAAUCCAGGAAAGAUUCGGAUUCUCCUUCGCUCUAUAAACUUUUCCUCCCCCUCUGAAGCUAGCCACGAUGAUCACCAGCCCUCCUCUCUCUUCUCUCUCUCAUUUCUUCCGUUGAAGCCGCAGACAUUCUCAUUGUGCCUGCCUCAAAUCCUCGCUGGAGA
rnacentral:lncRNA from 1 species